GACGAGGGCUCCCAGAGUCGUAUUCUGGAGAUAUCACAGAGUGCUGCCCCUGUCACCUCUAGAGCUGCCCAUGAGCUGAUAGAGGAUCACAGCCUCCUCUCGUGGGUCCUGCACGGCUUAGAGAAAAGGUUUCUGGAGAACCAGGUGAUAAAUAAAAUGAUUUCCUUACUCCA